GAUGAACGCUGGCGGCGUGCCUAAUACAUGCAAGUCGAGCGAACAGACGAGGAGCUUGCUCCUCUGACGUUAGCGGCGGACGGGUGAGUAACACGUGGAUAACCUACCUAUAAGACUGGGAUAACUUCGGGAAACCGGAGCUAAUACCGGAUAAUAUAUUGAACCGCAUGGUUCAAUAGUGAAAGACGGUUUUGCUGUCACUUAUAGAUGGAUCCGCGCCGCAUUAGCUAGUUGGUAAGGUAACGGCUUACCAAGGCAACGAUGCGUAGCCGACCUGAGAGGGUGCAGGGCCACACUGGAAAUGAGAACCGUCCCAGCCCCCUAGGGGGGGCAGAAGUAGGAAAUUUUCCGAAAGGGGCGAAAGCUUGACGGACAAACGCCGGGGGGGUGAGGAAGUUCUUCGGAUCGUAAAACUUUGUUUUUAGGAAAAAAAAAAUGUUAAAGUAAAGAUGCACCUUUGGACGGUACCAAAACAAAAAGCCACGGCUAACUACGU
rnacentral:rRNA from 1 species